rnacentral:tRNA from 1 species
CAGGGGGUAUUUUAAGAUAAAAUGUUAAUUUUGGGGAUUAAUGAUGGGUGUAUUUACCUCUCUCUGA